rnacentral:rRNA from 1 species
AACGUAGGACGCAAGCGUUAUCCGGAGUUACUGGGCGUAAAGCGCGGGCAGGCGGCUCGAAACGUCUGAUGUGAAAUCUCCUCGCUCAACGGGGAGAGGCCAUUGGAAACGGUCGAGCUGGAGGGCAGUAGAGGUAGGCGGAAUUCCGGGUGGAGUGGUGAAAUGCGUAGAGAUCCUGAGGAACACCAGAGGCGAAGGCGGCCUACUGGGCUGCACCUGACGCUGAGGAGCGAAAGUGUGGGGAGCGAACAGG